ACAUUGCUGUAGUUAAACAUGCAGACUGUUCCACAUUUUCAGUCCGGAAAUUGUUCCACAAAUUGUUGAAGGAAACAGGUAAAGAACAAUGUAAAAUGUACAGAAAACACGCACAAGACUUAUUUCAUCACAUUCACAUUGGAAUGUGAUAAUAAAACAUGUGUUGAUAAAAGGGAAAUAGUUCUUCCCUUCCAUUUCACACCAUGUGAAAUGAUCACGUGAUAGGCCCCUCAGGUCCAAUUUGAAUAUUUUACGUGUUUGUGGACAAAUCCGUUUGUCUCCAAAUGUGAUGUGAUUAAAAAAAAAAAAAAAAAUGCUGAAAGAGGAAACAGCCAGUCUUCCAUGUCUCUCACAUUAUAGUGUCGCCUGGUAGAGGAUUUUGUUGUCAUGAUUUAUCUCAGGACACUUUAAAAUGAAAUAAAUAAGUCUACACAGAUCGGUGUGGUCUGUAAAACAAAACAUCAGGGAGUAAAAAAUAGAUCUUCUAUUCAGGACGGCACGGUGGUGCAGUGGUUUGCAAUGUCGCCUCACAGCAAGAAGGUUCCGUGUGUGAACCUGUCCGCCAAUCGGGGCCUUCCUGUAUAGGUUUUCUCCAGUCGCAUCCGACCUGAGUGAUCCGAACACAAGUGGACAGCUCUUUGUACGUCUGUUCUCACCUGGCAGCAGAUCGUUUCUCCACAUGCGUCUCCAGUGACCACUUGUGAUCUGAUUUUACCUACCCGCCCCGUAUGUAAAUCAACACGUACACCAUUUCCGUUUGCAAGUUGUUGUUGUUUUUAACAAAAUAAUAAAAUAUGCAAAGUGCAAAA